rnacentral:rRNA from 1 species
UUAAGUUAUUAAGGGCGCACGGUGGAUGCCUUGGCACUAGAAGCCGAUGAAGGACGUUACUAACGACGAUAUGCUUUGGGGAGCUGUAAGUAAGCUUUGAUCCAGAGAUUUCCGAAUGGGGAAACCCAGCAUGAGUUAUGUCAUGUUAUCGAUAUGUGAAUACAUAGCAUAUCAGAAGGCACACCCGGAGAACUGAAACAUCUUAGUACCCGGAGGAAGAGAAAGAAAAUUCGAUUCCCUUAGUAGCGGCGAGCGAAACGGGAAGAGCCCAAACCAAAAAGCUUGCUUGUUGGGGUUGUAGGACACUCUAUACGGAGUUACAAAGGACGACAUUAGACGAAUCAUCUGGAAAGAUGAAUCAAAGAAGGUAAUAAUCCUGUAGUCGAAAAUGUUGUCUCUCUUGAGUGGAUCCUGAGUACGACGGAGCACGUGAAAUUCCGUCGGAAUCUGGGAGGACCAUCUCCUAAGGCUAAAUACUCUCUAGUGACCGAUAGUGAACCAGUACCGUGAGGGAAAGGUGAAAAGCACCCCGGAAGGGGAGUGAAAUAGAACCUGAAACCGUGUGCUUACAAGUAGUCAGAGCCCGUUAAUGGGUGAUGGCGUGCCUUUUGUAGAAUGAACCGGCGAGUUACGAUUUGAUGCAAGGUUAAGCAGUAAAUGUGGAGCCGUAGCGAAAGCGAGUCUGAAUAGGGCGUUUAGUAUUUGGUCGUAGACCCGAAACCAGGUGAUCUACCCUUGGUCAGGUUGAAGUUCAGGUAACACUGAAUGGAGGACCGAACCGACUUACGUUGAAAAGUGAGCGGAUGAACUGAGGGUAGCGGAGAAAUUCCAAUCGAACCUGGAGAUAGCUGGUUCUCUCCAAAAUAGCUUUAGGGCUAGCCUCAAGUGAUGAUUAUUGGAGGUAGAGCACUGUUUGGACGAGGGGCCCCUCUCGGGUUACCGAAUUCAGACAAACUCCGAAUGCCAAUUAAUUUAACUUGGGAGUCAGAACAUGGGUGAUAAGGUCCGUGUUCGAAAGGGAAACAGCCCAGACCACCAGCUAAGGUCCCAAAAUAUAUGUUAAGUGGAAAAGGAUGUGGCGUUGCCCAGACAACUAGGAUGUUGGCUUAGAAGCAGCCAUCAUUUAAAGAGUGCGUAAUAGCUCACUAGUCGAGUGACACUGCGCCGAAAAUGUACCGGGGCUAAACAUAUUACCGAAGCUGUGGAUUGUCCUUUGGACAAUGGUAGGAGAGCGUUCUAAGGGCGUUGAAGCAUGAUCGUAAGGACAUGUGGAGCGCUUAGAAGUGAGAAUGCCGGUGUGAGUAGCGAAAGACGGGUGAGAAUCCCGUCCACCGAUUGACUAAGGUUUCCAGAGGAAGGCUCGUCCGCUCUGGGUUAGUCGGGUCCUAAGCUGAGGCCGACAGGCGUAGGCGAUGGAUAACAGGUUGAUAUUCCUGUACCACCUAUAAUCGUUUUAAUCGAUGGGGGGACGCAGUAGGAUAGGCGAAGCGUGCGAUUGGAUUGCACGUCUAAGCAGUAAGGCUGAGUAUUAGGCAAAUCCGGUACUCGUUAAGGCUGAGCUGUGAUGGGGAGAAGACAUUGAGUCUUCGAGUCGUUGAUUUCACACUGCCGAGAAAAGCCUCUAGAUAGAAAAUAGGUGCCCGUACCGCAAACCGACACAGGUAGUCAAGAUGAGAAUUCUAAGGUGAGCGAGCGAACUCUCGUUAAGGAACUCGGCAAAAUGACCCCGUAACUUCGGGAGAAGGGGUGCUCUUUAGGGUUAACGCCCAGAAGAGCCGCAGUGAAUAGGCCCAAGCGACUGUUUAUCAAAAACACAGGUCUCUGCUAAACCGUAAGGUGAUGUAUAGGGGCUGACGCCUGCUCGGUGCUGGAAGGUUAAGAGGAGUGGUUAGCUUCUGCGAAGCUACGAAUCGAAGCCCCAGUAAACGGCGGCCGUAACUAUAACGGUCCUAAGGUAGCGAAAUUCCUUGUCGGGUAAGUUCCGACCCGCACGAAAGGCGUAACGAUUUGGGCACUGUCUCAACGAGAGACUCGGUGAAAUCAUAGUACCUGUGAAGAUGCAGGUUACCCGCGACAGGACGGAAAGACCCCGUGGAGCUUUACUGUAGCCUGAUAUUGAAAUUCGGCACAGCUUGUACAGGAUAGGUAGGAGCCUUUGAAACGUGAGCGCUAGCUUACGUGGAGGCGCUGGUGGGAUACUACCCUAGCUGUGUUGGCUUUCUAACCCGCACCACUUAUCGUGGUGGGAGACAGUGUCAAGCGGGCAGUUUGACUGGGGCGGUCGCCUCCUAAAAGGUAACGGAGGCGCUCAAAGGUUCCCUCAGAAUGGUUGGAAAUCAUUCAUAGAGUGUAAAGGCAUAAGGGAGCUUGACUGCGAGACCUACAAGUCGAGCAGGGUCGAAAGACGGACUUAGUGAUCCGGUGGUUCCGCAUGGAAGGGCCAUCGCUCAACGGAUAAAAGCUACCCCGGGGAUAACAGGCUUAUCUCCCCCAAGAGUUCACAUCGACGGGGAGGUUUGGCACCUCGAUGUCGGCUCAUCGCAUCCUGGGGCUGUAGUCGGUCCCAAGGGUUGGGCUGUUCGCCCAUUAAAGCGGUACGCGAGCUGGGUUCAGAACGUCGUGAGACAGUUCGGUCCCUAUCCGUCGUGGGCGUAGGAAAUUUGAGAGGAGCUGUCCUUAGUACGAGAGGACCGGGAUGGACAUACCUCUGGUGUACCAGUUGUCGUGCCAACGGCAUAGCUGGGUAGCUAUGUGUGGACGGGAUAAGUGCUGAAAGCAUCUAAGCAUGAAGCCCCCCUCAAGAUGAGAUUUCCCAACUUCGGUUAUAAGAUCCCUCAAAGAUGAUGAGGUUAAUAGGUUCGAGGUGGAAGCAUGGUGACAUGUGGAGCUGACGAAUACUAAUCGAUCGAAGACUUAAUCAA